CUUCUCUCUGAGUCCACGUGUACGUAUCCCUGCUCCUCCGUCGUGAGACACGUGCGGAGAAUCACGCUGGAAAAUUCGCUGAACGUCAGAGAAACUCUGGCACCAUUACAGUGAGCUUGUCUGACAAUCAGAGAAUAUACGAUCCAGCGACCGAUGAUGCUGAGACAAUGCUGGACCAGAUGUAGCCAGUGUCAAUAGUUCUAGCAUACAGCGUUGGACCAUCCGAGACCUUGAUGCUGCGGAACUGAUCCGAUCGCCGGACGCACUAAUUUAGUCACGUGACAGUCAUGGACACGUGGACUAUUUGCUCCUUUGGAUUUAAAAUUCCUCUAAACGUUGUAUCGAAUAUUCUCAUGCGUGAUGAGUGACGUUCCACUUCUAAUCUUAGCCAGUAUCUACGCCUGUGCACGGGCAGCCUUUUUUAAUAAUGGCUACCUACAGCGGUCGUUAGUAAGUACCCGGAGGAGCACAGCAUCUUCACUGAUCUCGAGGGAUUCUGACGCGAAGAGAAGGAUGCGUCUAUCUAUAGAUGGGUAGAAGUAGAGGCAGUAAACGCUAUGGGCAGCAAGCAGCAGCAGCAGCAGCAGCAGCAGCAGGAGCGCAGCCUUGGCCAUUCGAGCAAGCACGAAGCUCUCGCACUCGACGAAUAAUAUUUACUCCGACCUCUACUUUAAGUAAACGCAAGAGCAGCGUCGCGUCAUCCACCCGACGAGUACAAUGUUCCAGAUCUAGAAGGCUCAAUGGAGAAGCCAAAUCCUGAACGUGAACUCAAAAAUAAUCAAGCUCCAAAGCUAAAUUCCUAUUCGAAAUCCCCGACCUCUAAUGUGCAUUGGAACAAGAGGGCUUCUGUUCCCUCUGGCAGAGCUGCUCCUCGGCUGUGCAUUCCUGGGGAUGUUUCGAUUCCCAGAGGGAAUCGGCGAGGAUGACAGCAGGGUAUUGGAUGUUGUCCAGGACUUGGCGCAGGUAGGAUCAACUAAUCUCGGUGCGCUGGGACAUGACGAAUCGGCGUAAUUGAAAGAUGCAAAGGCGAACGGUCGAAGCUGCCAGAAUCGUAAGUUACAGCGGCUUAAUGAUUUCGCCUCUUGAGUCAUUUGGCCCUGAGUAGCGCGAGUAGCGCUAGUCGCACGCGUCACCGAGACUGCAUUCCCUCUUCGAAGUGACUAUCUUGUCGAUCGACUCCUACUCAGGAAUACCCCCUUGCUCGGCUAUUAAUACCAGUACCACUACAUGGAAAUCUUCUACCUGCCAUUAACGACCUCUAUCGAACAUUGUAGAAGGAAAACGUCGCCCUGACGAUUAGUCGAGACGCAACGAAGGAAUCGCAUAGGAACUGCAGCUGCUUUUCGAAUUCCGCCUUUCGAAAGGAUUUUUUUGCUCUUCGUGAAACACUUUUUUCUUUUGACAAAAUUUUCAUCGAUCGAAAUAAAAAUGUUUACAUCCCGGAUAUACUCUUGCGGAAUUUCUCGUUUGAGAACGAAGCCGCAAUUAAUGGAGGUCCAUAGACGAGCAAUGCGAGAUUGAGAAUACACGAAAAUAGAUUGAUUACGCAACCUCCUGAUAAAUAAAGAUACCGACACGGGCGGAUGCGAUAGGAAUGUUUGUUGUUAUGUCGCUUAAGAUGUUCGCUUAAUGAGUUCUCAUUAUCACAGCCGGUCCUAAAUGAUUAUUAAGCCAUAAGUCUUAUAUCUAUAGGAUUUGGCCUAAAGGUGAAUCCACGAGUCAGAUCCUGAUGGUCAAUCGGACAACCGAUCCAACGGAAAUUUCAACGGCUUGCAGCUCUAGUGCACCGUUGCACCAGCCUGAAAAACAAAAGUGCAUCAUCAGCAGCUUCUAUCGAACUUAUCGAACUGCCGGUGCUAUUAGGAACUGCGCAGAUAUAAUCUGCCGUUUAAAUCGGGCGCAUAAUUGCUGAUUAUUUUUAACUCGAACGAGACAGGAAUGGAUUCUAACGGGUGGCCAGAAUUUACGGACUAGCACUAACGGCUAAGAGCCAUAGCCCAGCCAGCUAUAUUAAUUUCACGGUGAUGAUCUCGUCCUUGUAUCAAUUAGAAAAAAGGUUUUGUAAAUGAAAGAAAAAUGGUCUGUGGCUGCGCUCAACAAUUGAUGUUCAUCAUUUUUAAAGAAAUAUGAAAUUAUUGGUCUCGUGGCCUGAGAACUAGGUGAAACGGCUGACAUUGGAUUUACAGAGAAGUCGGGAUGUUAUGAAGUCUAGGGACAGCUGCUGGACGAGUGGGUCUAAGGUUUUACUACGAAUUUAAUAGCGAAAGCUAUGAACGACACCUAAUCAGAAAUACCGAUAAAGCCCAUAGAUCUUUCAGAUUGAUUCGCGUCCAAUUAAUUUCACUUGUUACAUUCUAUCGAAAAAACUGUUUAUCACGUGCUACUAACUAUAAGUAGCACACGGAUCGUUUUAAAAAUUACCUCGACUUCCAAGUGGACGAAGGUCAGUCGGCUCUAAAGAAACUCAAAGCUGCCCUGAGAAAAUCCCGAGAUCGAUAAGUCUGAGCUAAGACACGGGAAAACGAAGAAACGAUUUACUUUACAGCCAAGAAUUUUCGAUGAGUUCAUCCACCUGGCAGUGAAUAUGAUUAAAAGCACGUGCUGCUUGGCUUUUCUAUUCGAUCGAAAUUUUUAUACAUUCACAUCCAUAUCAAUAUCUCUGGACUGUACUGAUUUAAGUGAGUAUAAUAUUUUGUCAAUCGAUAUAAUUAAUUUUAUCCCUGAUCCGGCAACUUACCAUUAAUACCCGCAAGAAAUUAUAAUAUAACAAAGAAUCAGACAGAUUUCGAACUACGGAUACUUGAAUGGGUGGAAAUUUUAAAUAUUCAUAUGGAAUCUACAAGGAGCGAAUUGGAUGAGAUACAUAUAGCAGAGUGUGAUGGCGGUAGAGGCUCAUGUUAGCGAGUGUACUGGGCAAGGGAGGGCCGGAGAGUCGAGACAGGAGUAAGAGAAGAAGAGACCGAAUCUAAGAUUAUUUCGGGAUCGGCCGAAGAUAAACCGGGCCAACAUCGACCGAGCGAACGGAACGGAACGGAACGAAGCCUUGAGGCUUGAGUCAUCCUCUUCGACUUGGAUUUGGCCCUCUUCCCUUCUUAUUUAUCCAUACGACUAUCCAUACAUCCAUCCUUCCAUAUGUUC